rnacentral:rRNA from 1 species
GACGAACGCUGGCGGCGUGCUUAACACAUGCAAGUCGAACGGAGUGGCGAACGGGUGAGUAACACGUGGGUGAGCUGCCCUGCACUUCGGGAUAAGCAUGGGAAACUGGGUCUAAUACCGGAGAGUGUGGGAUGGGCCCGGGGCCUAUCAGCUUGUUGGUGGGGUAAGGGCCUACCACGGGGGCGACGGGUAGCCGGCCUGAGAGGGUGGACUGCCACAUGGGGACUGCGACACGGCCCAGACUCCAACGGGGGGCAGCAGUGGGGAGUAUUGCACAAUGGGCGGAAGCCUGAUGCAGAGGCGCCGCGUGGGGGAUGUAGGUCUUGGGGUUGUAAACGCCUUUCACCAUCGACGCGGUAGAUGCAGAAGAAGCACCGGCUAACUACGUGCCAGCAGCCGCGGUAAUAC